rnacentral:lncRNA from 1 species
AACGGCUCCCAAAGGGACCAGGAUAUGCGAGGUGAGUUCGCCUUGUUAACGCGUAAAGCAACAUUUAUCUCGAGAAACACUCCUGUUAACGCUGAGAUGCGUACGCCUGGCAUGAGAGGUUGUUCACUUCUGCGAUUCUUGG